GAUGAAGAACGUAGCGAAAUGCGAUAAGUAAUGUGAAUUGCAGAAUUCAGUGAAUCAUCGAAUCUUUGAACGCACAUUGCGCCCUUUGGUAUUCCGAAGGGCAUGCCUGUUCGAGCGUCAUUAUCACCCCUCAAGCCCCUUGGCUUGGUGUUGGACGGCUGGCGAUGACCUCCGGGUCGUCGCCCCUCCCAAAGACAAUGACGGCGGCCUCGUUGGACCCCCGGUACACUGAGUUCUUCACGGGACACGUACUGGAUCAAGGGUGCGCGGAGCACGGUCUUAACCAUUUCACCCCUCGCGGGCGGAAUAAUUUUUCUAGGUUGACCUCGGAUCAGGUAGGGAUACCCGCUGAACUUAAGCAUAUCAAUAAGCGGAGGA
rnacentral:misc_RNA from 1 species